CACUAUAAGAUAACCUUAGCUUUGUUAGCAUGCAUGCGUGAUGGUUAAUAGGCAAUCCCUUUCUUAUAUCCCAUUUAGGUAGUUCGUGGAUAGAGGGUAGUGAUCAUGGGAGUGUAGGAUUGGCCAUUAGCGUACCCGACCCGAAAAUAGGACAGCAAUGCGUCAUUUGCUAGAAAGUUUUCAAGAUUGCAAGGCAACAAUGCCCAUGAAGCAAGCCUUCUGUAAAAAAAAAUAUCCGUUCUUUGCUCGAUACGUGGGCUUUUACACUAGACCUUCCAAACUAAGUCGCAACAUGGUCGCCGAGGCGCGUGUGACGUGGACGUCACCUCUCGGAGCCUACGUUGGCGUUCGCGACCCACUGACAAAACCUCAAUCUUACAACUGUUAAAUCGCAGUCUUAUUACUCCAGCAACUAACGUUUUCUAGAUCCGUAGACUAGUACAUCUUCAAUAGAGUUCUAGAGUUCAUGACUUUAGCGCACUUAAGUCAUAAGCAAAGAGGUUGAAGGCUGGUCAUUCACCCCAGAAACAGAGGGGCCCAAGUAUGCUGCCUUGCGGCACCCCAAAGACAACUGGAAGUUGGGACGAUGUAUAGCCAUGGACGAUUGAACUUUGGAAUACUCAACAAAUAGCUCGGUUCCAUAGCGGGAGGGUUUAAACAUCAUUCAAUAUUUGGUGAAGAAGCUAUCCAAAGCCUUAGCCAAGUCUAAGAACACCAUAUCUGAUUAUCAACGGCUUGGCCGAUGUCAUGGUAUUAUGGUAAAGCGACCUUGAAGGAAGCUAACUGCAAGUAAUCUGCUAUUAACAGCUAAGAGAUAGAAAGUUGUGCUAGUGGGGCAAGUGUUUUACUAUGCAGGUUGAAAAUAAAUGACAAAUAAUUUCAUAACUAAGA